rnacentral:lncRNA from 1 species
AAACCACCCAGAGAAUGUGAUUGAGUGAUCCCAAGCUCUAAGAACAUUUAGGUACUUCUAGUAGUGACAUUCCUAUUAAGACAGAGCCCAGCUUGGCUGGGAGAUCCAAUGUCCCCAUGCCCAGGUGACAGGCAUUGCUCCUUUGUCAGAAAGGUUCCUGGCUGGAGGUUCAUAAGUGUACCAUGUGCUGGGAAUUUUUACUGACAUGAUCACAAUUAAUCCCUCAGAAAAUCCUGUGAAGUAAGUAGUUUCCCUUUUAUAGAUGUGGGAAUGAAUCAAGACUCAGAGGCUUUGACUUGUCUUUAGGCACCAGGUCAGUCCAAUUCUAAAGCCCUGGCUGGAAUACCCAGGCAGUGUGAUUUAGAGAUGCUGGGCUAGUUAGGUGGACUAGCUCUGGGACUCUGUUGUGAGAAAAAGUGAGUGGCGAUGGGGUGGGGCAGCGGAUGUAACUUGAUGGCAAGGAUUGUCAACUUACAGCAGGAAAAUUUUGGGUGAGGAGGAGCAGAAUAUGGGUGGUUCUGGCAGCGAGACAGUCUUCAGGAAUGAGAAGGAGAGGUCAUCCCCAGCUACCUCCAGGAGAAAGACAAACUGCGGCCUGGACCAGCUGGUGAAACAUAAUUCUGAAUCCUGCCCACAGCCUUCGGUGGUUUUGGAUGAAAGGCCAGCGCCUUGGGAGCCCUGCGUUUGAUUUCAAGUUUUAAGGCCGGCACUGGUGGAGCAAUGAAUGGUGAAAGCUCUCCCCUUAAAGGAGCACAGUUGCCUUUAGGUGACUGCUAACUCAGGCUUUUGCUGAGGACAGUGUUUACUUUGUGAGCUUAAUGACAGGGCUGGCUUUCUGGGAGUGUUGCAAUGAAACAGACUCAGACACAGGCCAUCAUGGGCCUCCUCCCUAGCAAGGCCGCCACGGCUGGCAUCUCAAGAGCAGUCCGUUGAACUUGGGAUUUGGGUGUGAGACACAGUUUCAUCAGAAGAAUUUAAACCAAAGUCUACAUUUGCCCUCUAGAUAAAUGUGUGUGUUCAGCAGCAACCACA